CGAAAGCCUGACGGAGCAAUACCGCGUGAGGGAAGACGGCCUAUGGGUUGUAAACCUCUUUUCUCAGGGAGGAAUUCAAUGACGUGUACCUGAGGAAUAAGCAUCGGCUAACUCCGUGCCAGCAGCCGCGGUAAGACGGAGGAUGCAAGUGUUAUCCGGAAUCACUGGGCGUAAAGCGUCUGUAGGUGGUUUAAUAAGUCAACUGUUAAAUCUUGAGGCUCAACUUCAAAAUCGCAGUCGAAACUAUUAGACUAGAGUAUAGUAGAGGUAAAGGGAAUUUCCAGUGGAGCGGUGAAAUGCGUAGAUAUUGGAAAGAACACCGGUGGCGAAAGCGCCCUACUGGGCCAUAACUGACACUGAGGGACGAAAGCUAGGGUAGCG
rnacentral:rRNA from 1 species